rnacentral:lncRNA from 1 species
UUUUCAGUUUUAAAUAUGUUUUCUUUUAAUAUUAUAUUUGUAUGGGUGUUUUUUGUGAGUGUCUAAAUGGGGUAUUGGGGGGUGGAUGCUGUCGAAUGUGUAGAUAUAUAAAUAGCUUAAUAUGCUUACGAUCUAAACAAAUUUGUUGUGCUCCGACGUACAAAAUAUUCAAACAAAAUGUGAGCAUGGUAAUGCAUGAGAGAAACGUGGCAAAAAUGAACGAACGAACAUUAAAAAUUGUUUGCAAUAAAUAAUAUAUGUAAUUUAAACAAAAUGAAGCUUGCUCUUGAAAUAUGACACUAAAUUUAAUACUUUUUGCAUAGUUUUGUUUCCAUACAAGUAUAACCGAUGAAUAUAAUAGGCAUACAUAUAACAUAUAUGGGUGAUAUGGUAGGAUAGACGGUUGGUUCUUCCGCUUUUUGUGUGCGUUUGUUUUUGUGAACAGCAAUGAACAAUAUUUGUAUUAAAUAAUAUGAUAAUAAAUAGUUAAUAUAUAAUAGGUAUGGUAAUUAUACAAAAAAAACUACAUAAAUACAAAAGUUCAAAGUUCUGUGGAUCCCGACGUCCUGCCGCGGUGGCCGCACUUUCUCCGGCGCCGACAGCUGGAAGUCUCCUCGCGGCCACGCACGCGUAACCAGCGCGCGCCCCCAAUCAUGCCCAGAAUCUGGUGAAUAAGGCAAAGGCGGUAUGGGGUUGAUGUUGUUUAUGUUCUGGAUUUUGAUCCUUAGUACUGCCCGGUGGGAUCUAGGCAGUCCUGUCGCCGCUUCUGGCGCGUCUCGUUUGUGUCGCGUGGUCGACGGUAGGUUCCUGUGGGAUCCAGCAUUUUGUCUGAUUUUCUAUAGCUCUUCUUGCGCAACGGAAAAAGCUUUUCUUGCUUUACUUUACAGCCGGGUAUUGGUUGGCUGGAGGUGUAGCUUGUGGCUUGGUGGCUUGGUGGCUUAAUAGGUGCCAGUGGGGUCCAAAGCGAGCGACAUAUUGAGUUUGAUUUGUAAAAGAUUUCAAAUGUGAUGGAUAAUAUUUGUUAGCUCUAUCUGUUGACAGCUCUUCUUCAGUAUUGACCAGUGGGAUCCAGAUAGGCAGCCAUGGUUAUAUCUUGGAUGGAAUGAUUUUGCGGGGUAGAGAGUGAUGUAAUUUUAGCAGAUUUUCAGGUCUCCCUUCUCGUCUCAGUACUGGCCAGUGGGAUCCAAGUAGGCUGCCAUUUGUAUGCCGUUUAUGUACCAAAAAUACUCGAAUGACAAACCGAACGAACAGAGUCUGCUGCUGUGCUGGCGCUGUUGCUGUGAUCUCCUCCUUUGUUUAAUUUAAAUCAACCUUAUGUUUGUCUGCUUGUAUACCAUUUAUAUUGAACUUUAUACUGGUUCUCUUGGGCUUUGUGGACUUUGCUGCUGUUGUUGUAAGUUCUUUUAUUAUCACCAACAGUGGGCAGUGUCGCUGGGUUUUUCUUGGCUGAUUAUACAGCGUCGCGUGUGUGUGUGUUUUAGCUCUUUUGUGUUGUUGUUUUUGUUAUUGUUGGUCUAUAGUUUUUGUGUGGAAGAGUCACUGACACUUAAAAUCCAUUAAAUACUUUUGUGGAUUGUCUUUAUUGUUUAUUAAUAAACGGCUGACUGCCUAUUUGUGAUUGUUUGAUUUGUUUGGUGGCUUUUAAGGGUCUCAGCGACGCGUGUUUCACGUUUAAAGUUGUUACGGAAAAUCUUUCAAUUUGUUUUCAAAAGAAUUUCUUUUAUUUUCAACUGAGUGUUACGUGCAAAUCUGCGGACUUUUCGGCUGUUUGUGGGCUGCCUGUGGCUGUUGCUGUUGCGAUUACUGCCGGAGCUGUUGGUUGAUCUUGCACUCUCGAACGUUGUCGAUAUUUUGAUUUGAUUUUCGUCGAGCCGUAAGCUUAA